ACGGAGGAUCCGAGCGUUAUCCGGAUUUAUUGGGUUUAAAGGGAGCGUAGGCGGACUAUUAAGUCAGCUGUGAAAGUUUGCGGCUCAACCGUAAAAUUGCAGUUGAUACUGGUCGUCUUGAGUGCAGUAGAGGUAGGCGGAAUUCGUGGUGUAGCGGUGAAAUGCUUAGAUAUCACGAAGAACUCCGAUUGCGAAGGCAGCUUACUGGACUGUAACUGACGCUGAUGCUCGAAAGUGUGGGUAUCAAACAG
rnacentral:rRNA from 2 species